CUAGGAGUCGAUCACUGCAAAAGAAGAAGUAGAACAUCAUAAUCAUCAUCAUCAUCAUCAAUCAUCAUCACAUCAUCAUCUUUUCACUGACAGCAUGAUGAAGACUCUCUGCUUCACCCUGGGCUGCUGCUGCUCUCCGCCUGCUGCUGCAACGCCACACUUCAACAUGUGGAGUACAGCACGGCUCCUAAAGAGUGCUGCUUCAACUUUUUCACACAGAGAAUACCACUAAAGCAUGUGUCCACCAUAACCAAGACCCACAGCGCCUGUCCCAACAAGGCAUUCAUGUAAGUCCACACUACCAACGGAAGACAGUUCUGCUACAGAGAAAGUUUCCAGUGGGCUCAGAAAAUCUAACAUCAGCUGCAGUAAACCGUGGGCAGCGGUCAGCAGCUUUAAAGAUGGAUUAUGUAGCUUGAAACUUAGCUUGGUUUUGCAUGUAAUAAAUACAUACUCUUUGUCUUUUAA